rnacentral:misc_RNA from 1 species
UCCCCGUUUAACAGGGCAGUCUGAACAGAGUGCGCCCUCCCGAAAGAGGGGUGGCAACAGUUCACAAGGGUUGCGCUCGUUGCGGGACUUAACCCAACAUCUCACGACACGAGCUGACGACAGCCAUGCAGCACCUGUGAUGGUUACACCCUUGCGGGCAAUCAGCAGACUUUCAUCCGCCUAAUUCCACCAUGUCAAGGCCAGGUAAGGUUCUUCGCGUUGCAUCGAAUUAAGCCACAUACUCCACCGCUUGUGCGGGCCCCCGUCAAUUUCUUUGAGUUUUAAUCUUGCGACCGUACUCCCCAGGCGGCACGUUUAACGCGUUAGCUCCGGCACGGAAGGGGUCGAAUCCUCCCACACCAAACGUGCACCGUUUACUGCCAGGACUAC